UAAGAUCUCUUUCCUCUCCACUUCAAUUCUUCUCUGAUCAAAAGGUCUUUACCAAGAAAACAUGGCACCAAACGAAUUUGCUCCUUGCACCUUAAGUCAGAUGUUGGGGAAGACAGAUCCAUGGCAGAAUAAUCGUGUUCAAGAUGUGUAUCAAAAAAUAAUUCGGUCUAUUAUUAAGUCCAUUGUCCGACUGGAGUUGAAGGGUAUAAUGCGUGGCCCUUUGGAUGUUGACAACAUACAAAUCGAUGAAAACUAUGAAGCCAA